GGAUGUGAGGGGAUCUUGCUGCAACAUUUGUCACCCAGUUCCUUGCCAGGAUUGGUCUGACUGAUCUGGUUAGUUAGGUGGGUGUUCCCUUCCUCCCUCAUCCCUUCAUGUACAUCCCUCCAAAGCUGCGUACUUGGUUAAAAGGAUGACCUUCCUCCAUAGAAGAGGACUGCUCUUCCAUCAAGGUUGUACAACUAGCUCUCUGCAUUGUUAGAACUUACAAACAAGUUCGCAACACCCACUGAUAUUUUUAAAGCCUGAAAAUUAAUUUUUCAAUGAAAAAAAUGUCACAU
rnacentral:snRNA from 1 species